rnacentral:misc_RNA from 1 species
GUACCCUCAAGCUCUGCUUGGUGUUGGGUGUUUGUCCUCUCCCUCGUGUUUGGACUCGCCUUAAAAUAAUUGGCAGCCAGUGUUUUGGUAUUGAAGCGCAGCACAAGUCGCGAUUCGUACCCAACGCUUGCGUCCACAAGCCUUUUUUAAC